UACAGAGGGGGCAAGCGUUAUUCGGAAUUACUGGGCGUAAAGGGCUCGUAGGUGGCCAACUAAGUCGGACGUGAAAUCCCUCGGCUUAACCGGGGAACUGCAUCCGAUACUGGAUGGCUUGAGUUCGGGAGAGGGAUGCGGAAUUCCAGGUGUAGCGGUGAAAUGCGUAGAUAUCAGGAGGAACACCAACGGCGAAGGCAGCUCGCUGGGACGGUACUGACGCUGAGGCGCGAAAGCGUGGGGAGCGAACAGG
rnacentral:rRNA from 1 species